rnacentral:rRNA from 1 species
GAUGAACGCUAGCUACAGGCUUAACACAUGCAAGUCGAGGGCCCGGCGCACGGGUGAAUAACACGUAUCCAACCUUCCCUUUACUCGGGGAUAGCCUUUCGCAAGAACGAUUAAUACCCGAUAUAAAGGAUGGGGAUGCGUUGCAUUAGGGGGGUGGUGAGGUAACGGCCCACCAAGCCUUCGAUGGAUAGGGGUUCUGAGAGGAAGGGCCCCCAAAUUGGAACUGAGACACGGUCCAAACGCCUAGGGGAGGCAGCAGUGAGGAAUAUUGGUAAAUGGGCGUUAGCCUGAACCAGCCAAGUAGCGUGAAGGAUGAAGGCUUAUGGGUCGUAAACUUCUUUUAUAGAAGAAUAUGUAUUAUAUGAAUAAGGAUCGGCUAACUCCGUGCCAGCCGCCGCGGUAAUUC